rnacentral:rRNA from 1 species
AUAAGCGGGCGAGUGAAGCGGCAAAAGCUCAAAUUUGAAAUCUGGCUCUUUCAGAGUCCGAGUUGUAAUUUGAAGAAGGUAUCUUUGGGUCUGGCUCUUGUCUAUGUUUCUUGGAACAGAACGUCACAGAGGGUGAGAAUCCCGUGCGAUGAGAUGAUCCAGGCCUAUGUAAAGUUCCUUCGAAGAGUCGAGUUGUUUGGGAAUGCAGCUCUAAGUGGGUGGUAAAUUCCAUCUAAAGCUAAAUAUUGGCGAGAGACCGAUAGCGAACAAGUACAGUGAUGGAAAGAUGAAAAGAACUUUGAAAAGAGAGUGAAAAAGUACGUGAAAUUGUUGAAAGGGAAGGGCUUGAGAUCAGACUUGGUAUUUUGUAUGUUACUUCUUCGGGGGUGGCCUCUACAGUUUAUCGGGCCAGCAUCAGUUUGGGCGGUAGGAGAAUUGCGUUGGAAUGUGGCACGGCUUCGGUUGUGUGUUAUAGCCUUCGUCGAUACUGCCAGCCUAGACUGAGGACUGCGGUUUAUACCUAGGAUGUUGGCAUAAUGAUCUUAAGUCGCCCGUCUUGAACCACGGACCA